AGAACGAACGCUGGCGGCAGGCCUAAUACAUGCAAGUCGAACGCACUCUUCGGAGUGAGUGGCAGACGGGUGAGUAACGCGUGGGAACCUUCCCAAUGGUACGGAAUAGCUCCGGGAAACCGGUGCUAAUACCGUAUAAGCCCCUCGGGGGAAAGAUUUAUCGCCAUUGGAUGGGCCCGCGUCGGAUUAGCUAGUUGGUAAGGUAAUGGCUUACCAAGGCUACGAUCCGUAGCUGGUCUGAGAGGAUGAUCAGCCACACUGGGACUGAGACACGGCCCAGACUCCUACGGGAGGCAGCAGUAGGGAAUCUUGGACAAUGGGCGAAAGCCUGAUCCAGCCAUGCCGCGUGAGUGAAGAAGGCCUUAGGAUUGUAAAGCUCUUUUGGCGGGGACGAUAAUGACGGUACCGCAGAAUAAGCCCCGGCUAACUUCGUGCCAGCAGCCGC
rnacentral:rRNA from 1 species